AGAAAUCUUCAACAAGAGAAACGAAAUCGUCUUGCUCUUGAUUGCAGCACUAACCCAAAAAAUGGUCCCUGACCUAUUGGAAUGUGCUUGACUAUUUCCAAGAGUUUGGCAGUUGGAUGUCUCUUCUGCUGUAUUGCUUCUGUAGCUACCUUUGACUGGGGUUUUCUUUGGGAAUCAUAUCACUUAAGAAGUAGAGGAUGGAGUAAUGGCUUCAGGAGCGUCUUCUGCCAGGAGAGGAGGUCUGUGGUUGGAGCAGAAGAACUGAAAUGGACUUUUUGCUAUUAAAGCAUUGUGAUCAACUAGGCUGGAUGGAUUCAAGCCAAGAGGCUGCAUCUGGAUGAGCCUAAGUUCUUUGGUACCCUGCUGAAAUCAAUUCUUUUCCUUUGUUAGCAGGGUCUCCAUAACAUGAGCUACUGGAAUAAGUUAAAGGAAAUACUAUUGGAAGCUCCUGACAAAAUCAUGUCUAUCACCUGAUUUUGCAGUUACUGAAUCGAUCUCUGGUGGUGAGAGCAAAAUGCAUCCUCAUGAGUGUGCAUGAUGGAAUCCAGAGAAAUGAGAUUUUUCCUGAUUUAAUGAAGCACCUCACUCAUUUUAUACUGAGGAUUGAGCCUAACAACUUUUGGGACUUGAAAAACAUGCUCACUAUUUCACGUUUAACUGAUAGUUUAUGUAGAAAUGGGCUUGAACGCUUGCUGAUGCACCUUGAUAAACUGAGAGCUAUUCAAAUAGCUUUACAAACAAGGUGAAUCUAUGGAUUUAUCUGCAAUACUUAAACACACACAUUUUUUUUUGCCUUUAGUACUGAUAUUUCAUACGGAAUGGGCUGUGUUUUGAGCUGUAGGCCUUAAAGCUUUGCUCAGUAACCUUCUGUCCAGUGGCUGGCCCUUUUGGGGACUUAUGGAGACAAAGGUACUCUCAGGGCAAUAUCUUUCCCAUAGCAAGCAUCUUUAAAAUACUUAGAGUAAAAAAAACUUGUCACUUGGAUGGGAUGUCACCAGACUUGGGGGUUUAUCAGACUGGAGUGCCUUGCUGGUUGAAAGGUCAUCCACUAAAAGCUGGGAUUUGCUCCCAUGGGUGGCCAACCUGCUUGUUCCAAACCUUCCAGCCCUGCAGAAGUUACCUUGAUUGGGUUCCUGCACUGUGCUGCAGAGUGGGCAGAAUACAGUGAGUAAAUGACUAUAUUCAGCAAUGGAAAGAAUUGCUUUUUGUUUUGCAAGCUGUAACCACAGAUUAUUUCUUGUACCCCUGUUGUCAGAAGAAACUGUUUCUCUCAUUUCCACCUGUGGGACCCUUUGUGUGGGCACUGCUGACUGCCAUGACUUGAUGGGCUCCUGCACCAAAAAGCUCCUUACAGAUGUGUGUGGGCAGAAUUGUCCAAUUCUUUUUUAUCUGAACUGGGGUCUUGUAAUGCUGGUGGCUAGACUUCACUUAAAAAAUACAUAAAAAAUCCAAGCCUACAUAUUCCUAAUGACUAACCUUUAGCAUGACAAGCCACUUUCCUUCCAAGACUUUAAUUUGGAGACUUUUAAAAUAUCUGAUUUUGACUAAUUAAAACAUGCUGGUAUUUUCAUGUAGCAAGUCACUUGGUUUUGCAAAUUCCUUGCAGGGGUUUAAAACUUCUACCUCAUUUUCUAGACCACUUGUCUGUGAGAAGGACUUGAAAAUGAGAGGUUUUCUCUCUUGCUGGAAUUCCACAGUAAAUGUCAGUAUGAAUAGAAUUAGAAUCUUUAUAUAUCACCACCCCUCUCUUCUGCUGUACGUAGGCAGCAAAAUGCAUGUGCUGGCUAAUGGUAAAAUGUCAUUGCUCUGUUGUGAGCACUUGUGGGUAUCAUCCAGAUGUGGGGGUGAUA